rnacentral:rRNA from 1 species
GACCUUGAUAGGCUACAGGUGUAAAUGCAGUAAUGUAAAAGCCGAGUAGUACUAAUAGCCCGAACGCUUUAUAUCGU